CAAGUUCAUCAUAAUGUGGCUCAGAGAGGAGGGACUCAGUGUUCAUAUGAUCUCGUAUCUGACAGAGACUGCGGUUGAAUUGAUUCAGCUUGACUCUUCUCAGAGUGAACACAUGUACAAUGAAUCUUCAUUCAGCUAUUCUGUUCUGUGCCUCAGCAGCUGCUGUCUUUGGAAAUGUCAUUAAACCAAACAAAACAGAUGUUUUUGCUGAGGAAGGUUCAAAUGUUACAUUAUCCUGUGAUUUCACUGCAUCUGGAGGUUCAGAUAAUCUCCACUGGUACCGUCAGUAUGGAAGAUCAAAACCUGAAUUUAUAGUACUCACCUACAGCAAAGCAAAAGAUGCUCGGCAGUCUGAUGUAGAUUCAAGAUUCUCUGUUAAUAUUCCACAAAGUGAACGUGUGGAUCUGAAGAUCUCCUCUGCUGCUGUAUCAGACUCUGCUCUGUACUACUGUGCUCUGGCGCCCACAGUGACAGGAAACACAAGAACACUGUACAAAAACCUGUUACAAUGA